UCUUGGUCAUUUAGAGGAAGUAAAAGUCGUAACAAGGUUUCCGUAGGUGAACCUGCGGAAGGAUCAUUACCUAGAGUUUGUAGACUUCGGUCUGCUACCUCUUACCCAUGUCUUUUGAGUACCUUCGUUUCCUCGGCGGGUCCGCCCGCCGAUUGGACAACAUUCAAACCCUUUGCAGUUGCAAUCAGCGUCUGAAAAAACAUAAUAGUUACAACUUUCAACAACGGAUCUCUUGGUUCUGGCAUCGAUGAAGAACGCAGCGAAAUGCGAUAAGUAGUGUGAAUUGCAGAAUUCAGUGAAUCAUCGAAUCUUUGAACGCACAUUGCGCCCCUUGGUAUUCCAUGGGGCAUGCCUGUUCGAGCGUCAUUUGUACCUUCAAGCUCUGCUUGGUGUUGGGUGUUUGUCUCGCCUCUGCGUGUAGACUCGCCUUAAAACAAUUGGCAGCCGGCGUAUUGAUUUCGGAGCGCAGUACAUCUCGCGCUUUGCACUCAUAACGACGACGUCCAAAAGUACAUUUUUACACUCUUGACCUCGGAUCAGGUAGGGAUACCCGCUGAACUUAAGCAUAUCAAUAAGCGGAGGA
rnacentral:rRNA from 1 species